rnacentral:lncRNA from 1 species
UAAAUUACUUUUGUGAAAUUUUAUUCGAAUGCUUUUUAGGCUUGUAGCCAAUUUGCAUGUUAAUCCAAGAAUAAAUUAAAAAUAUAAUUAAUCCUUGUUCCGAUGUUAGUGGUGAAUUCCAUGUCCUAGGUUCUCCUAAACUGAUAUCAUUUUAAUUGCAUUUUCUUUAUUAAAUUUCUUAGUUUAAUUUUCUUCACAAACUCUUCCUUUUAAAUAUUUUUAUUUUUAAGAAAACAACUAUACCCCAAUCCCUGUGGAUCAAUACCCGUAAUCACUAUCCUACCAGAUACGUGCUAUUGCGUGGUCUUUAAAAUUGACUAUCAAUUUUUGGCGCCGUUGCCGGGGAUUGGUAGCAUAGUUGUUUUUCUUUUUAUUAAAAAAAAUUUUCAAAAUUUUUUUUCGAAAAAUAAAAAAAUAAAAUAAAAAUAGUUUCUAUUUUUACUUUCUUUAUCUCCUUCUCCUCUCUUACUAAUUUUUGAUUUUUCUUGGUAUCAUUUGAUCAGGAACCAAAGAGAAAGUUUGGGACAAUUAGAAAGGGAACGAUUGAAAAAGGAAUACUGUAGAGGUUUGUUUUUUUAAAAAAAAUUGCUGGAAAUU